GUUAUGCGGUUCCAUCCCAAAAACCGGGCCUGUGUCUCAUACCUCCAAACAUGGAAGGGCAGAUGGCGGUUUUUGAAUUUAUGCUUUUAAAUUAAUAACGACUUGGUUACUUUAUUUUACGCUGAUUAAUUUAUUCCGUAACUGGGUUAUAUUUGUGUUGCUCUGUGGCGUGGUCGUUCCGUACCGGUGCAUCAAACACAGACUGAGGUUAAUGUGGAUCAUUCCAUCUGCAACAACAUGGGGCGGGGAAGAGGCACCGUGCAGAAUUCGUGUUGUUUUUGAAACCUAAAAAAGUACUACCCACCGCAACAUGAAUGUAAAAAGUAAGCUACGAGUUGUUAGACGUAAGUGGGCUAUGUGUGUGUGUCGAACUGAAACUUAAUUCUCAGUUACUCUGGUUCGCUACGUGGGAAGUUUACACACACACACUAAAUCACAAUGAAGUAACAGAUCAUACUAUGUAUUUUUAGAGAACAGGCCUGUAUUAUUAAAAGUCGAGUUUAGAAGUAGCCUCUUCUUGUUCCUAGGGUUGUCACGGUCUUGCCUUCAAGUAACACCACUCGAAGUGAUAGAGCCACUGUAAUGCUUUCAUAUAGAGGCAGAGAUACCCGGAUUCAUUAUAACAGACUUGGAAGAAAGGGUUAAAUGACUUUUCACCAUAUAAUUUCUGAGAUAUAUUUAGCAGCUGUUAAUAAAACCUGCUACAACACGCCUCCUUAUUCUUACUGCUAAUACCUACUUGUAUAGGUAGUGUUGCGAACUUCAAAAAACCAAAUCAUAGACAGAAUAGAAAAACUACUUGUGGUUUGCAAUUUACUUCAUAUGCACAUGUCUGUAAUGUUUUACCUGUAUAACGACCCUGAGUGGAGGGCUAUGUGCAUGCAGUAACGUACACCCCCCACCACAACUGUAAGUUCAAGAUUAGCGCUAUUAGUAUAACGCUAUCAUGCCGAUAUCAACAGUAUAUAUAGAGAAUAGUAACUAUAGAAUAAGACGUGGCAAUGACUAGUGUAAUGAAAAUUGGAUACAUUGUACAAUGUUUGACCUAGAUGUCAUUAGGUAAACAAAUGAGGUGUUGGUAUAUUAAAAUCACUCUUCUGUGUGUGGAAUAACUUGUUUUUUCAAGAUAUAUGAGUAAUGCAGUUGGACUGAUGUACAGACAGAGAUUCUCAUAUAGGGUCCAUAGGAUAUAAAAAAUAUUGUAUCUCAGAGGGAGUCGUUAUACUACAUUCUUGCUUUAUUAACGUCGGGGCAUCAGUGUGUCUAAAGCACUGAAGAACGGCACUGCACGUAUGCUAUACACAAAGAAAAUUUGUGAAAAUUAUUGCAAAACGAAGCACUGUAAUAUUAGGCAAUUUACAAAACAGUAUUCCAAAAGCAGUUCUUGUCGUGUUUUCUCAGUCCAUGCUAAAGUAAUAUUUGCACCGUGUUAACCCGAGACAGAAACAAGAAGAAAGCGCACACAAACUGGCUUUGGAGAUUCGUGAAAAAAUCUUGUUUCAGCUUUUGAACGCUACAGUAAUUGUUUUCUUUAACAUGGUUAAAGUGGGCAGUUACGUGAAUCGACAGCAUGUAAAAAUUGAAACUGAAUUCAACCAUACAGUCUUUUUUUCUGUAACUGAAUCCAUUCUGUCCUGCUAAGAGUUGAAUUUACUGUUUUAGACCCAUAAUAAAAUGUCCUUUGAUCAGUUUCCAUUGGUACCGUUCAGUUGGUAGCAGCAUGUGGAAAUGACACAUGCCAGAGGUCCAUCGAUUAAGAUAAUGCGUUAUUUUCAGGUAGUCUGUUAUAUCUUCACUUCCUAAGGUUAAGGUAAAGUAAAUCAUACACUAAUUGCAACAUGUAGCAAAGCAAUGGCUUGUGGUAAGCUACAGCUUAUUGUACACGAAUUGCAACAUGUAACAAAGCAAUGGCUCAUGGCAGCCCAAGAGCAGCGAGCAGAAGGAAAAGGUGAGGAAGGCGAGUGCAGAUUGCAUUUCCGUCCAGGGCCACCAGGGGACCCGGCUGCUCUCCGAGGCCUUCAUCCUGAGCGACCUCUUCAACAUCGGAGAGCUGGCCACGCUGGAGCUGCUGCUGGCAGGAGAGCACCAGCAGGCUCAUUUCCCUGGCCUGACUCGUGGUCUGGUCGCUGUCCUGCUCUACUGGGAUGGGAAGAGAUGCAUUGCUAACUCACUACGAUCCCUGAUCCAGUCUUGGCGCAGCAAGACCUUCACCCUGGAGCUCAGCUGUUUCAUAGAGUCCUGGUUGCAGAAGUUAAUGCCCUGCAGGGAAUGGCAGCCAUUGGACAGCGGCCUUUACUGCUGGAGG